rnacentral:rRNA from 1 species
UACGUAGGGGGCUAGCGUUGUCCGGAAUCAUUGGGCGUAAAGCGCGUGUAGGCGGCCCGGUAAGUCCGCUGUGAAAGUCGGGGGCUCAACCCUCGAAAGCCGGUGGAUACUGUCGGGCUCGAGUGCGGAAGAGGCGAGUGGAAUUCCUGGUGUAGCGGUGAAAUGCGCAGAUAUCAGGAGGAACACCGAUUGCGAAGGCAGCUCGCUGGGACGUUACUGACGCUGAGACGCGAAAGCGUGGAGAGCAAACAGG